CGAGUAAAACAGUACCCCCAUGUACAGGUUUUAUAGCAUUUUUGAAAGUUACAGGGUCAAAUACAUGGGUCAAAUAUUUUUACAUUGAAAAUGGCCAGGUUGGUUACGUUGCCUUUGAGAGCGUUUGGUAGCCCAGGAAUGAGAAUUACCCCCAUGAUGGCAUACCAUUUGCAAAAGAAGACAACCCAAGGUAUUGCAAAUGGG
rnacentral:lncRNA from 1 species